rnacentral:rRNA from 1 species
GCGACCCAGGUCAGGCGGG